rnacentral:rRNA from 1 species
CGUUCCCGGGCCUUGUACACACCGCCCGUCACGUCACGAAAGUCGGCAACACCCGAAGCCCAUGGCCUAACCGGUUUUCCGGAGGGAGUGGUCGAAGGUGGGGCUGGCCGAUUCGGGACGA